CAUAAGGAAAAUAAAUUCUUAAGAACUGCAAAAAUUAAAAAUGUAAUAGGCAGCAAAUAGCUUGUAAUGGGACUAAUACUGACCCUUGGCAAUUCAGCUAAGCUGUCACAUGGCCUUCCUAAGAUUUAUAUGCAGGAUCUUUUUUUCUGCUUUUUUUUACAAUAGUAAACAUGUUUGCUAAAGGGCGUUAGGUAGUUCAAAGGUAGAAAUAUAAGUAGAGAAAAUCAGCUACUGAUUUUUUAAUAAGUAAGUCUUAGUUCAAGGUAUCUGUGGGUAGCCAAAAACAUGUGAGAUGUUUGCUUUUACUGCAGGAUAUUAAACGUUUUAACACUGAGGCUUUGGGGCUCAGAGCUGGUGUAUAUAACACGACCUUCUGAGAGAGAAAUCGACAAUUACAGCAAGGAGAAUCUUGGAUCAGAUAACAGUGGCAGCAAGAAAUAAGCAAUGGACAGUGGUCCCUGGGCUCGGGAGAGAGGAAGAUGAGGAGAAAAGGAAGAGGUAGCAGGGGCAGAGAGGAGGAGUCAUCAGUGAGGAAAUGCAACUGCAGAAAGAUGCGUACGUUAUUCUCUCCGAGCAGAGCACAUGGUGAAAAGAUAGCAGUCCAAGAAAGAUUAUCGACACUAGAAAGAAAGCGGUUAAUGCUACUGCCCUGACAAAUGAGCUGAGCUUGAAGAUCUGGCUGGUACGGCCACCAGUGUGUCUUAUUGUUUGUUGUAUUUGUUGCCUGGAGCAUGUGUUGUACAAAAGAAUCCUGUCUUUUAGGCUUAAAAUAGAAUAUUUGAUGAAAGCAGGUGGGUUUUACAUAAACCCCCCCUGGUCUGCUCUAGUAAAUAAGUUCAACCUGAAGUUAUCCUUGCGCUAGUCAUUAUAAACCCUAUUGCUGUUUUAUGUCUCAUUCUCCGAACGAGAAGGGGAAGAAGUAAUACAAAAAGAAUGUGUCAGAUUUCUUACAAGAUAACGGAGGAGUUCUUUUCAGGCUCGCAGUUAGAAAUUAUGAAGCCAUCUGCUAUUAUAAAAUCAUCCUAAGUACUCUAUUAUUGUAGUACUUGGCAGUCCAGGUCAAGACAGCAGUAUUCCAUUGGUGCUGCCUAUCUCUGGGUUUGUAAAAGGGUUAUCAUGCGGAUGGCUUUCUAGUAUUAUUAAGGAGUUGCUCCAGUCCUUGCUAUGAAGAAAAGCACUUUUCUCCCUAAUGUUGUAUUGCUGCCAUGUAGUACCUUUGUUGCUGUCCCCAGCAUCUCUCUGUCAACUUAUGUUAAAAUCAGGGAUUUUGUUAAAUAAAACUUGAUCUUUUUUAGAGGAUUUAGACGUA
rnacentral:lncRNA from 1 species